GUGUCAGCCGCCGCGGUAAUACGAAGGGGGCUAGCGUUGCUCGGAAUUACUGGGCGUAAAGGGAGCGUAGGCGGACAAUUAAGUCAGGGGUGAAAUCCCAGAGCUCAACUCUGGAACUGCCUUUGAUACUGGGUGUCUUGAGUAAGAUAGAGGUAUGUGGAACUCCGAGUGUAGAGGUGAAAAUCGUAGAUAUUCGGAAGAACACCAGUGGCGAAGGCGACAUACUGGAUCAUUACUGACGCUGAGGCUCGAAAGCGUGGGGAGCAAACAGGAUUAGAAACCCCAGUAGUCC
rnacentral:rRNA from 1 species